AAAAUAAUCCUACCCUUUGUGAAUUUUGUUUGUUUGAAUAAUUUUUUUUUUUAAAAAAUUAUUGGAGUCUUUCCCUUUAGAGUUUGCUUUUGAGUUUGUAAAAGAAUUCGAAAACAUCUAAAGGGGAUGGUCAAUAAUUUUUUUUGAAAAAAGACAUUUUUUAAAAUUAAACUUUUUGUAUUCAUUUGUCUAAAAAUUAUUUUUAUAAUAUAAAAACAACUUUUGACAAUGGAUCUCUUGGUUCUCGCAACGAUGAAGAACGCAGCAAAAUGCGAUAAGUAGUGUGAAUUGCAGAAUACGUGAAUCAUCGAAUCUUUGAACGCAUAUUGCACUUUUUUAGUUUACUAAAAAAGUAUGUCUGUUUGAGUAUCAGUAAAAUAUUCUCAUAAAAAUCAUUGGUAUUUUUAUGGUUAUGAGUGUUUUACAACGAUACAAGUUGUUUCACUUUAAAUUUUUUUUAAUAUUGAAAUUUUUCUAAUUUUAAUAAUUAAAAUUGGAUAAAAUUUUCCCGUCAAAAGGAAUAACCUAAACAAUUUUAAACGAUUAAUUUUAGCAAAAUUUUCGUAAAAAAGGAAAAUUUUUAUUAAAAUAACUUGAUCUCAAAUCAGAUAAGAGUACCCGCUGAACUUAAGCAUAUCAAUAAGCGGAGGAAAAGAAACUAACAAGGAUUCCCUUAGUAACGGCGAGUGAAGCGGGAAGAGCUCAAAUUUGAAAUCUUCAAGGUUUUACCUUGACGAAUUGUAGUUUAAAGAAGUGUUUUCUGCUGAAGUUUUGGUAAAAGUUCUUUGGAAUAGGACAUCAUAGAGGGUGAGAAUCCCGUAUUUGACCAUUAUUUUCAGCUUUGUGAUACACUUUCAAAGAGUCGGAUUGUUUGGGAAUGCAGUCCAAAAUGGGUGGUAAAUUUCAUCUAAAGCUAAAUAUUGGCGAGAGACCGAUAGCGAACAAGUACCGUGAGGGAAAGAUGAAAAGAACUUUGAAAAGAGAGUUAAACAGUACGUGAAAUUGUCAAAAGGGAAGCGUUUGACACCAGUGUUGUUUUCUCGAAAAUCAAUUAAAAAUGGCUCGAUUUUGUAUUGCUGAGACCUUAAAAGCUCACUGUACAUUUUUCGUGUCUUUUUUAAUGCACUUUUCGUUUAACAAGUCAACAUCAGUUUCUUUUGUUGUAAAAGGGUCAUUGGAAGGUGGCUUUCUUUUCGGAGAAAGUGUUUAUAGCCUUUGGCCUCUGCAAUCGGAGAGACUGAGGUCUGCAGCGUAGACUCUUCGGGGUUAGAUACAUUUGUGCUAAGUUAUAGCUUUUUAUAGACAACUUGUUGACUAUAAUUAGUCUUGUAGCUUACUCGCUUAUGCUAUUU
rnacentral:misc_RNA from 1 species